GAUGAACGCUGGCGGCGUGCCUAACACAUGCAAGUCGAGCGAGAAGCUCAUGAUUGAAACUUCGGUCGAAAGAAUGAGCGGAAAGCGGCGGACGGGUGAGUAACGCGUGGGCAACCUGCCUCACACAGAGGGAUAGCCAUUGGAAACGAUGAUUAAAACCUCAUAAUGCAUUUUAUCCACAUGGAUAGAAUGCCAAAGAUAUAUCGGUGUGAGAUGGGCCCGCGUCUGAUUAGUUAGUUGGUGAGGUAACGGCUCACCAAGGCAGCGAUCAGUAGCCGACCUGAGAGGGUGAUCGGCCACAUUGGAACUGAGACACGGUCCAAACUCCUACGGGAGGCAGCAGUGGGGAAUAUUGCACAAUGGGCGAAAGCCUAAUGCAGCAACGCCGCGUGAGCGAUGAAGGCCCUCGGGUCGUAAAGCUCUGUCCUUGGGGAAGAAAAAAAUGACGGUACCCUUGGAGGAAGCCCC
rnacentral:rRNA from 1 species